rnacentral:rRNA from 1 species
UGGGGAAUUUUGGACAAUGGGCGAAAGCCUGAUCCAGCAAUGCCGCGUGUGUGAAGAAGGCCUUCGGGUUGUAAAGCACUUUUGUCCGGAAAGAAAUCCUCUGGGUUAAUACCUCGGGGGGAUGACGGUACCGGAAGAAUAAGCACCGGCUAACUACGUGCCAGCAGCCGCGGUAAUACGUAGGGUGCAAGCGUUAAUCGGAAUUACUGGGCGUAAAGCGUGCGCAGGCGGUUUUGUAAGACGGAUGUGAAAUCCCCGGGCUUAACCUGGGAACUGCAUUCGUGACUGCAAGGCUAGAGUAUGGCAGAGGGGGGUAGAAUUCCACGUGUAGCAGUGAAAUGCGUAGAGAUGUGGAGGAAUACCGAUGGCGAAGGCAGCCCCCUGGGCCAAAUACUGACGCUCAUGCACGAAAAGCGUGGGGAGCAAACAGGAUUAGAUACCCUGGUAGUCCACGCCCUAAAACGAUGUCAACUAGUUGUUGGGGAUUCAUUUCCUUAGUAACGUAGCUAACGCGUGAAGUUGACCGCCUGGGGGAGUACGGUCGCAAGAUUAAAACUUAAAUGAAUUGACGGGGUCAUAGCUGUUUUCU